CCCUCGCUACGAGCAGGGCGCUGGGUGGGCCUCCGCAAAGCGGCGGAGCGGAAGAAACUUGGGCCCGCCCAUCUGCUCCUGCAGCACUGCGUCCCCCUCACUUCCUCUCUGGUCUUUUUCUCUGUUUUCCCCGGGUCUGCCUAUCGGCUCCCCAGCCCCCACAAGCCCAUACGCAGCGUGAAGAUGCGAGCCAUGGCAUCUCCUGACUUAAAGGUCAUCCGCCCCAUCCUCCCACUGCUGCUCGAACCGUAUGCUUAACACGUAGGGCUGCAGUCGCUGCUUAGGAUUCCUGAUUGUCAUCUGUGGGAUGGUUAACGUGACUUUGUCGUUCAUUUCAUUCUUCCUUCACAAGCAUCCUGGAACCCAAAGAGAUAGGAAACUGAGGACAUUCGUGCAGGUGUUUUAAAGAACAGCAACGGGGAGAUUUGGCAUCCGAUAGGUGAAACUGUCCCCCACGAUUACUCCAUACACUGAGACUCCUUCAAAAGAGAUACACCAGGCUGACGUAAACGCACAGAAGCAGGAACAUGUAAUGCCCACAGCCGAGACUCUUUUUCUUCCUAUCCCACGUGGGUCCGAUUAAAUGCCAAGGGUCCUGGGGAGUCCACAGUGCAACUAUGGAAUCAGACAGGAUAUCCCAGGAUUACCUCCUGGUGAACGCUGGAAACCUGAGAUGAUGAAUAAGGCUGUGAGCCUUCUAUGAGUAUCUUUGCAAAUAUGAGUGAAACUGAAGCUGUGUAAGAUAUUCCACAUGGGUUAAAUGAAAACUAAGGGAGUGUUUGCAUCCAUAUGUUGUAUGUGUGUAUGUGUCGAAUUAUUUCGGCCCCUGGAGGAUAUAAAAAUUGGUAUAUAUAGGGCCUCCCUGGUGGUGCAGGGGUUAAAGUCUCAGCAUUAUCAAGCUAUCACCAGGCAUGAGUUCCAUCCCCAGCCAGGGAGCAACCCACAUGGUGCAGCAGACCUCUCCUGUCUCACUCUCUGCUCCCCUCAGCAGUGUAUUUCAAUUGAUCCACCUGAAACUGCUCCCCACUGUGUCUCUGAUGAAUCCUCUCACCCCCCCUGCAACUCUGGCCUGUGCCCCAGUUCUUGUAUGCAUAAAUAAAUAAAAAUAAAUCUUUUUUAAAAACUGAUAUAUACCGUGCCUGUAGAAAUUUUAAGUUGAGAAAUAUAAUGGAAAUUAGUACAAGUGGUUCCAGGAAGCGCUGUCUGGGAUAAGCAUUGUUUGAAUUGAUGAGAAAACUAAUUUGGAAUUUAAUGGUUUGGGCUUGAAACAUGUAUGUCUUUGAAGUUGUAUAAUUAAAUGUAAUGAUUUUCUCUUUACCUGUGUCAUUUGUGUACAUGUCACACAACAAUAAACAGAAUAAGGUGAACUGAAGUAUGUAAAUGCCAAGUAAUAUGGGAGUUGUGAAAUAAAGAGUUUUUUGAAGGUCCGUCUGAUGUUCUCCUUCCUUACAAUAAGCACACUGGUUUUUCCUUAAAAGUUUCCUUAUCGUCCUUUCUCUCCCCAUCACUUCCCUCUUAUUACAAAACUCUGUUCUGUCUUCUCCCUACAAAAUAUAGAUGCCAAAACCAAAAUGAUACAGAUACUGAGUUAUCGGAUAUGAAUUUUUGUUAUGAUAAAAAUGCUUCAAGAAACAAUGACAAAAAUUCUUGAAACAAAAAUAUAGAUGAGAACUAUAGAACCAUAAUUCUAUAUUUACUAAAAAAAAUUGCCCAAUAAUGAAGAAGGAAUAAAGACAGUCUGCUCAAGAAAACAUAGGGGAAUUUGUCUUUAACAGACCCACCCACAAAAAAAACUAAAGGAAGUACCAAAAUAAGAAAUGAUCAAGAAGGAAUCUUAGCACAUUAUGAAGGAAGAAAAAGCAAUGAAUUGAAAAAAAUGGGUAUAGUAGAUUACCUUUCUUUUUUUUUUUAAGAUUUAUUUACGCAUACAAGAACUGGGGUACAGGCCAGAGGUGUGGGGGUAAAAGGAUUCACCAGAGACAGAGAGGAGAGCAGAACAGGCAGACUGACUGAAAUACAUUGCU